rnacentral:lncRNA from 1 species
GUUUAGAAAAUUUUUUAUGCAGAUGUGAGACCAUCCUGAGCUGUUCCUAUUAUUUGUAAGAAAGCAGUGAUAUUUUCGUAUGCUUCUCUAUGGAAAUGGAUUUAUUUAGAAUUUUCUUCUUUUUUGGUUUGGGCAGAGGAGCGUCACCCUGUGGCCACCAGAAGCACAGGCUUAGGAGGAGUACUUCCAGGCUACCGCCAAUGACCCUUCAAAGCUCAAAGGCUCUUCAGUCAGCUUGUGCAGUAAAAGUUACAGGUAUCAACUCCUGGAUACAUCACACUUGAGUCAAAGCCUGAAAAAGCUGAGACAGCAACCCUUGACAGCUCAGAGGAACAUCUUGGAUACAAAUGUGGAGAAAUAGAAGACCUUGAGCUGAAAAUCAUAAGACAAGUAAAUAAGCAAGGGGUACUAAGAAAGAGAGAAAGAUACCAUGUUGCUGAAAGAAGAUUUAAUAGCUUCAACAUGUCAUUUCUUCCUAAAUUGAUCUAUAAAUUAAAUGUACUUUCAAUAAAAGUGCUAAAUAAAAUUUUUAAGAUAGUGCAUUUGAAAAAUACUCAAUGACAGCCAAUAAAAUUUGAAACAUGGAGUAAUGAAGGAGCUUAUUCUUCCAGACAUCAAAAUGUACCAUAAAAUUGUAAUAAUUAAAACAGCAAUACUCAUAAACCAGUAGAAAUAAACCCAUAUAUAUAUGUUACAUAUAUAUAUAUGAAAAUGCAAGAUUCAAUUUUCACAACAUACAAAAGUCAAUUUAAAAUGAAUUAAAUAAUUAAGUAUAUUCUGUAUAUCUUAUUUCAUACAUACACACACAUACGUAUAUUAGGG